UACCUUUUGGGUGUUGCUUUAAAAGACAAACUUUGACUUUAUAAGCCAGACCAUGUGAGAUGGUUAAUUAUGGUUACCGGAAUUCAUAUCUUAUACUGCGAAGCAGUGUCAGCACUUCAAGAUCUUGCAAUACUUUAAGUCAAUGAAUGAAGGAAUCUGGUUCUGAUCCCAUCUAAGAAUCCUGCAUGACUCUUACUGGUCUAAGCGAAUGCGUACGUGUUGGAGUAUGAUGUUUCUGAUACUUCCCAUGUGUAAGGCUUUGUUUGUUUUUUCAGGUUUACCAAAUGAAACAUUGGUGAGUAAACGUUUGGCGUGUAAAUGACUCCACUUCUCUUUUGGUUUAGAACAAAUUUCUAAAGACAGAACAGAGGACUUGAAAAGUCUGGCUUCGAGCAGUCUUCAUCAGGAAGUGACUGUCGAUAAAAUUAGUGGUGGUAUGCAAAGAGCAAAGAUAAGGUGAGAAAUUUUAGAACCACUUCUUCCACAUAUUGAGGCUUGAUAGAUGACUUGGACAAUUUAUUAUCAUUUGGAAAAAAAUGUAGUUUCUUAGAAACGUUGCGAAUAUACAAGUCCUGAAGUGACAUGAGAAGAGAAUAAAAAAACCAGAUAAUGAAAUAUAUAUUUAGUCCUGAAGUUCAUCGUCCCAUAAUUAAUUAUGUGUGACAGUUGAUUAUAUUUAGUUAUAUUUGACCAAACUACUACAUAGUGGAUAUCAAGUAUUGUUAGCUGUAUUUGCUUUCUGGCAAAAUACUUACUGACUCAUUAUAUAUUAAAUCAAUCAAAACAUGCUUUUUAGUUUAAA